rnacentral:lncRNA from 1 species
GCAAGGAGUUAAUUGAUCUACCACAUCUAUUACCUUUUGGAGGGUGGUGCCUCCUAGAUUGGUUAGGUGUCGCUUGGGAGCCUCCUACUUCGUGUUGUGGAGUGGAACCAAGAUGUUUGUAAAGGCUAGGAGAUCGUCUAUUUCAUGAAGAUCUACCGUGAGUAAGGCUAGUCCUUCGUGGGCGGAAGCCAUGGUGGAAUAGACAAGGUCGCUUCUUCGUGGACCCCUUGUGGGUGGAGCCCUCCGCGGACUCUCGCACCCGUUA